rnacentral:lncRNA from 1 species
AGAUAUCACUCUCAAUCAGAGAGGGGCAAAUCCCAUCUUGAUUGACCAUGUCUCAUAGCAUGCUUCUUGACAAACCCGAAAGCUACCUUUAUAACUACCCUGUUACGGCAUAGCGUUUGAUAGCCCCUAAGUAGGUCGAUCCACAUCUAGAAUACAUGCGACAAUCUCAGGUCUAAGGACAAAGCGUAUAUGUUGUUUAAAGAGAGAACUACUUCUCGUGUUGGGUCAGUCCUAGCACAUGUCUCCACAUGUGUCCACAUUAUUAGUUCAACAUCUCCAUGUCCAUGACUUGUGAAACAUAGUCAUCAACUAAUACAUGUGCUAGUCUAAUAUUCAUGUGUGUCCUCACAUGAACUCCG